CCCCUAGAUGUUCUGGGCCGCACGCACGCUACACUGAACAGUUCAACAAGUCUUAACCUUGGCCGAUAGGUCUGGGUAAUCUUUGAACGCUGUUCGUGAUUGGGAUAGACCUUUGCAAUUAUGGGUCUUCAACGAGGAAUUCCUAGUAAACGCAAGUCAUCAGCUUGCAUUGAUUACGUCCCUGCCCUUUGUACACACCGCCCGUCGCACCUACCGAUUGAAUGGUCCGGUGAAAUCUCGGGACGGCGGCUUGGUCGCUUGCGUCCGACUGCUGAAACUUGAUUAAACCAUAUCAUUUAGAGGAAGGUGAANUCGUANCA
rnacentral:rRNA from 1 species